rnacentral:rRNA from 1 species
UACGUAGGGUGCAAGCGUUGUCCGGAAUUAUUGGGCGUAAAGAGCUCGUAGGCGGUCUGUUGCGUCGGCUGUGAAAACCCGAGGCUCCACCUCGGGCCUGCAGCCGAUACGGGCAGACUAGAGUUCGGCAGGGGAGACUGGAAUUCCUGGUGUAGCGGUGAAAUGCGCAGAUAUCAGGAGGAACACCGGUGGCGAAGGCGGGUCUCUGGGCCGAUACUGACGCUGAGGAGCGAAAGCGUGGGGAGCGAACAGG